rnacentral:rRNA from 1 species
UACGUAGGGUGCGAGCGUUGUCCGGAAUUAUUGGGCGUAAAGAGCUCGUAGGCGGUUUGUCGCGUCUGCUGUGAAAACCUAAGGCUCAACCUUGGGCUUGCAGUGGGUACGGGCAGACUAGAGUGCGGUAGGGGUGACUGGAAUUCCUGGUGUAGCGGUGGAAUGCGCAGAUAUCAGGAGGAACACCGAUGGCGAAGGCAGGUCACUAGGCCGCAACUGACGCUGAGGAGCGAAAGCAUGGGGAGCGAACAGG